GCAGUAGAAAUUCAUGGUUCAUCAGAUGUGGCCUAGUUUUUAGGGAUUCGAAACGUUUUCAUCGUGGGGGAUAAUAAAUGUUCAGUGCGUUCCGUUAUAAAUAGUUCCUAAUAAUAAAGUCAAUAAAGUGACUUUUUUAGUAUUCUUAAAUUAGCAGGAAAAACCUAAAGCUCAAGGAUGAAUACAUUUGUUUAUCGUUACUACUUUUGUAAACAAAAGAGUCAGAGAACAAUGUACGGAAUCUGAUAUUCUAGACCUGGAAACCCCAGGUGCCUUUCUGCUUCAACAAGGCUAUAAAGCAAUUAUAAUUUCAGGAGGUCCCAACUCAGUGUACGCGGUUGAUGCCCCACUAUGCGACCCAGCAAUCUUUAGGCUGUGAUCUAUCAGUGCUGGGGAUUUGUUAUGGCAAGCAAAUACUCAAUAAGGAGUUAGGUGGAACGGUGGAGAGAAAAGAUGUUCGCGAUGGGCAAUUCGAGAUCCAAGUAGAAACGGAGUGCCCAUUGUUUAAAGGCUUAGAGACUCGGCAAAUGGUAUUACUGACCAAUGGUGACAGCGUAGACAAGGUUGCAGAAGGGUUGUGUUGCGUCGCAAAAUCUUCGCGUCAUAUUGACUGAUAACGGAAUGUUGGUUUCCUUUCCAUUCAGUGCGAAACAUUGAUCUUAAAGGCUGAUGUUUAAGACGAAAAAUGUUGCAGAAAUUCUUAUUCGAUAUCUGUGGAUUGCAAGGAGUUUCACAUUGGAGGAACGCGAGCAGCAGUGUAACGAUUACAUCCGGCGCACGGUCGGACUUGAUAAGAUCGUGCUCAUGCUGGUAAGCGGUGGAGUCGAUUCCACCGUCUGUGCUGCCCUUCUCCAUAAACCACUUCUACAGGGUAACGAGUCGUCGCGAGUGCAGGCCAUCCAUAUCGAUAGCGGUUUCCUGCGUAAAGACGAAUCCAAGCAGGUCGUCACUAGUUUACAGCAACUCGGGCUCAAUCUUCAGGUAAUUUGAGAUACUUUUCGGGACCGUUAAGAAUCCUUAUGAUUGGCCAAAAUUUCCAAAAUACGUCGUCCUGUCACAUCUCAAAUUCUACGGUUUAAAAUACUAGUUCUAUGACCGAGUUCUUUUACAGACAGUGGCUUCUCAUUUGUUCUUCAUACCAGCGAUCAGAUUUGAAAUGGAUACGAUUCCGAAAUCGUUCGUCAGUUGCGCCUUCACGGCCGUGUAGUAAAACCUCUAGAAGGUAAUUGCAUUAAGGUGUUUCCUGCGUCCCAAUAGACCUGUGUCGAAUGCUUUAUUUCGUUUACAUCGACUACACUUCAAACAAGUGGGAAAAGGUUGCCUUUAGGCAAUAAGAAGGUAUUGUUCGGGUCUCUGUACGAAUCAUGUCGUAACGGGUGAGUAUCGGAUUGUGGCGCUGAAUGUUUGUGGAUCUAAUCCAAUCAUAGGUAAACAGUUGAAAAGGUGUGG